GUCAUUCGCUCCCCGGCCUGAGGCCGGAGCGCAUCUCUCAGUUGAGGGACGCGCUCAUGUUUGACCAGCCCAAGUCAUCACCAUAGGAGGUGCAUCCGAUGACUACGUUCAGUUCACGUGAGAAGACCCACCGCGCCGUGCUUCCUCAGCGGCGCGCUCUGGA
rnacentral:sRNA from 15 species